GCCUCCUUUCUUUCUCUGCCUCCUUUGUUUCUCUGCCCCUCGCUCCCUCACAAUCCCUCGCCCGAAACCCUUGCCGCCGCCACCUACGCCUCUUGUUCCGGCGUGUUCCGGCGGGCCUCGCCGGCGUGCAUCCCAGAUCCGAGCUCCCCUGCCUCCGCUCUUCCCUCCCCUCCGGCCAGAUCCGCCUCUCGCGGCCCCGGUAGCUCAUCCCCAACCCCUUCCCACGGCUAGGGUUUCGAGGGUGGCGUUCCCACCAAUUUCGGCGCGGCGGCAGCGACUGUGCUCCGCCCACCAACCUAGCCGCACAGCAUGGCCAUGGCCAUGGCGGCGGCCAGAUCCACCCCCUCCCUCAUCUCCUCGCCGCCGCCACCUCCUCCCCGUCCUGCAACAGCGCGUCCCGCCACCACCUCCUUCCUCGACGCGUCCCGCAGCUACGCCCAUCGCGUCGCGCAGAUGCCGUCCCCAAUCCCCACCGCGUUCCCCAAUCCCCACCCCAACCAAAAUCUUCCCCAUCUCCCACGGCCGGUUCUCCUCCCAUCCGCAUCCCCUUCCCUACCCCCGCUCCCAGAUCAUGCCGCGCGCCGCCCCUGACCACCGCCGGAACCCCACCCUGCCGCCGACGAGGCCCGACCCCCCGGGGGCCCAGCCAAGAUGGUGCUCGCGCAGCUAGGCGGGAGCAUCUCCCGCGCGCUCGCGCAGAUGAGCAACGCCACGGUGAUCGACGAGAAGGUGCUCGGGGAGUGCCUCAACGAGAUCUCCCGCACGCUCCUGCAGUUCGACGUCCAGAAGAUCAUCAACCUCGAGACCCUCGCCGCCGGCACCAACAAGCGGCGCAUCAUAUAGCAGGUCGUCUUCACGGAGCUCUGCAACAUGCUGGAGCCAGGGACGCCGGUCUUCACCCCCAAAAAGGGCAAGCCCAAUGUCGUCAUGUUCGUCGGAUUGCAGGGCCAGUCUGACUCACCAACCAACCUCGCCUGCUUGCUCUGUUUAUUGUUCUACACCUAUUACUGAAUGUAUAUAUGUACCACUCUGUGUGUAGCAUUUUUCUAACUGUACAAUAGCACUCACUCCUCUACUAUCACAUAAUAGAUUAUCCUUGAAUUCAUCUAGUUUGGAUCAAAACAGAACCAUUGAUUAAUACUAGAUGAUUGUUACUGUACAUUUGGUUACAAAUUUCUUUGAACUAGUUUGAUUCCCUGCUGAUCUACAUCUUUUACUUACUCACAUGCUUGACUGAAUUUGCUACUGCUGUUACUCUAGUGGUGAACGAGAUAGGCAUUCUAUUGCUUGUUUCCUUUCUUCCACAAAUUAAAACUCAGUAAUCUUGUUAACUGCUACCGCUGUCAUGAACAACACAUCUGAGAUGAACUUGACAUUGAUUUGCUCGUGUGUCAAGUAUGGAUAGACUUUGCUAUUCACCAGUAUUCAGGCGGUUGAAGUGUGCGUGUUGCUGCGGCUGUUAGGAUGUCGUUGGGUUGUUAUCACUAGUACUAGUCCUGUCAAAUUGCCUGUGAUUAGUUCAUUACCAUGCUAUCCAGGGAUAUUCAUUUAUGUGCCUGUGAAUUCGUUCUUGGUGUGUAUGUAUGUAUAUGUGCUAGCAACAUGAGUAGGAAUUAACAUCAUGCUCGGCCUGGAUGAAUUGCAUGCAUACAUUGAUCCAGGGAGAAGUGUAUGACUGAUACAAUCCUCUUUUUCACAAAGCUAUUAUACACUUUGGGAAAUACAGUAAUUUGUUCUUUACUAAAUGCACUGCAAGUAUGGAUGCUGAUGCAUGCAUGCAUAUAGGGUGAGUCGUACCUAGUUGUUCUUUAUGCAUCUCCAGUCGUACCUAGUAUUGUUUUAAUGGAAUCAGUACAAUUUUUGUGUACAUUGGGAUUGCUCUGUUUGCUUCAUAUUAUGGUGUAAAUGUCUUGCUAGCUUAUUGUGGCAGCCGGCUGUGAUGAUAAACACUUUCAACAAAGAUGCCAGUUCUGCUUCUGAAAAUUCAUGACUGAAAAACCUGUUAUACAAGAUCUAUUUAGUACUCAUGUAUUAUGGCCGUGGCUCAUUUAGUAUGUGCUUGCUGUGCCUUGUGUAUUGGUGCCUAAUUAGCUUCUGUUAGGGGAUAAUCUACUGGUUAUAGCAAGAUUUUACUCUUGUUUCAUGGAAUAGAUGGUUCAUGUGUACUGCGAUGUACUAGUUGAGCUCUGCUGGCUGUACUAGUCGAACUCUGCUCCUUCUAACUCAUAUAAAUUUUGCUCCUGUUGCUAUACAAGUGAUGCUUGUGUGAUUGUUGAUGGACAGGAACUAGCAAACUUUGUUGUUUUGCAACUGAAUGAACGCAACUUCAGUUUGUAUGUCACCCAGCUUACUGCUGCGGUGGCUGUCGAUGCCGGCAAGCCUGCAACAUCUCCGAUGAGCUGCAGGACCUGGACACCUUAGGAGCUCCAGGCCUAGGAAAUUUCAAGUUUGAAGUGGCGUGUUCUGAUAGUCCAGAAAAGUGAAGAAGUCUGGAGUGUAUUUGUAGUAGGAGUUAUAUGUUCUGAUAGUAUCACAUGUAAUGGUGAAAUGAAUUAUGUAAAGAUUGUGCUAUUAGCCAAAAUUGGCAUGUGGUUUGAUAA